GAGACUCUGUGCGCGUGCAUAUCAAUAAGCGGAGGAAAAGAAACUAACAAGGAUUCCCUUAGUAACGGCGAGUGAAGCGGGAAGAGGUCAAAUUUGAAAUCUUCAAGGUUCUACCUUGACGAAUUGUAGUUUAUAGAAGUGUUUUCUGUUAGUAGAGUGGCAAAAGUUCUUUGGAAUAGGACAUCAUAGAGGGUGAGAAUCCCGUAUUUGGUCAUUCUUUCUAGCUUUGUGAUACACUUUCAACGAGUCGGAUUGUUUGGGAAUGCAGUCCAAAAUGGGUGGUAAAUUUCAUCUAAAGCUAAACAUUGGCGAGAGACCGAUAGCGAACAAGUACCGUGAGGGAAAGAUGAAAAGAACUUUGAAAAGAGAGUUAAACAGUACGUGAAAUUGUCAAAAGGGAAGCGUUUGACACCAGUGUUGUUUUUCCGAAAAUCAAUUACGAAUGUUUUGUUUUUGAGAAGUUAUGACUUCAUCGGCUUGCUUCUCUCUUUACGAAACUUUCUUAAUGCACUUUUCGGUUAACAAGUCAACAUCAAUUUCUUUUGUUGUAAAAGGGUACGAAGAAGGUGGCUUUCUUUUCGGAGAAAGUGUUUAUAGCCUUGUACCUCUGCAAUCGGAGAGAUUGAGGUCUGCAGCGUAGAUCCUUCGGGGUUAGAUACAUUUGUGCUAAGUUAUAGCUUUUCAUAGACAACUUGUUGACUAUGUUUAGUCUUGUAGCUUACUCGCUUACUGCUAUUUUACCUACGCUUAGGAUGUUGACAGCAGUAUAGACUGU
rnacentral:rRNA from 1 species